CCUACGGGUGGCAGCAGUGAGGAAUAUUGGUCAAUGGACGAGAGUCUGAACCAGCCAAGUAGCGUGAAGGAUGACUGCCCUAUGGUUUGUAAACUUCUUUUAUAUGGAAAUAAAACAUGGUAUGCAUACCCUCUUGUAUGUACCAUAUGAAUGAGGAUCGGCUAACUGCGUGCCAGAGGCCGCGGUAAUUCGGAGGAACCGCUCGUUGUCCGGAUUAAUUGGGUGUAAAGGGAGCGUAGGUGUAUUGUUAACUCAGUUGUGAAAGUUUGCGGCUCAACCGUAAAAUUGCAGUUGAAACUGGAAGUCUUGAGUACAGUAGAGGUGGGCUGAAUUCGUGGUGUAGCGGUGAAAUGCUUAGAUAUCACGAAGAACUCCGAUUGCGAAGGCAGCUCACUGGACUGCAACUGACACUGAUGCUCGAAAGUGUGGGUAGCAAACAGGAUUAGAUACCCCGGUAGUC
rnacentral:rRNA from 1 species